AGCUUCGGGUAGAGAACACAAAAGACCCAGGGAAGGUUGAGCCUAGCCUACCUUCUGCAAGAGUGAACUGGGGGCUGGACAGGAAUUGGGUAAUCACAGACACUUUUCUGACACUCGGGUGACUACCAGUUGGUGGUCAUCAGCCGGCCAGCCUCUGCUGGUAACUCUGGACAGUGGGAGACCUGAGAAAGGAGCUGGAUCCAGCAGCAAGCAGUUGUGCGGGUAUUAGCUGGACAGCAACCAGCAGGUAUUGGCUGGUCCUGGAGUCCCUCACUGAACACACUCAGGGUAGAGGCUGCUCUGCUGUCUCCUGUUCCCAGAUCUGCAGUGAUCUUUUACAGGCUGGAAUUGCAAGUGGGCUGAAUGGCCACACGUGUUUCCUGGGCUCUGGGUAUCUCAGCUCAAGCUCCCAUGCUUUCACGACAUGUGCUGUAACCAAGGAGUGACCUCUCCAGCCUGAGCCGCCUUCCUCACAGAACGACUAUGCUUAUGAAGAAGAUUCCUGUCUACCGAACUAUCAUCUGAUGACUGUAGAAACAUGAAAAGCCCAUCGCGGUUCCAAUAGAAGAUCCCCCUUCCUACCAUCCUCUCACUCUUACAGGACUUGGCUCCUUCAGACUUCCAACAUGGACUGAAGACCCAUGACCUCUGAGAAUCCUCCAGGCCUUCAGCACUAGAUUGGAGCUCAUGAGGCAAUCAGUGUCAUGGACUGACUGAGUAGACAUUGAUUCUCCAGUGUGUAGAUGGCCAUUGCUGGACAAAUUGUGUAAGCCACUCUAGCUAGAACAUGACAGGCUGCACAUGGAACUAUCAUGAAGGGUUUGCAGAAGAGCGCUGAAGAGCUGAAGAAGACAAGAUGGAGGAACUUCUAAGACUUGGUGAUGAACUUUUCCAGACCCUCACUGUCUGCUGGGAUGGGCCAUUGUCAUGACACAAAGAAGGCUCCCAUCCAGAGUGUGCAGGAUAUGACAGCCGCCCACAGGCUCUCAGGAUGAUGGGGCUGUCGAAUCCCGAAGUUUCCAGGCAUGACAAAGAGCCUCCCGGAGUGUCCAUGGGGAAGGAAUCCAUCACAGUGAAGGGCUAAGGAGCUGCUGAGGGCCCUCGAGCCUCCCGUGGAGGGCGGGAGAUAAUGAGGGCUGACUCAGGGCCGCCCACCUGGGCUGCAAUUAUUCAAUUUUCCUGGAAAAUCGGCUUCAUCAUGAUGAAUACUUCGCUGAUUUCAGAGCAGAUUAAUGCACUUGAUAUGAAGUGCGAUCCCAUCCAUCAGCUCCCGAAACUUGCUAGAGGCUUGUGCUGAUUAACCCAUCUUCUUUGGCUAUCUUGUCUGCUUGGUUCACCCACAGCCUCCAGCCCUCGCUGACCCAAGAAAGUGUGGGGGGGGGGAGAUUUUUUUUAUAAAUGUUAUGUUCCAUAGCC